CGGACGGGGAUAUCGCGCGAGAAUCUGCCCUCAGGAGGGGGAUGAGGUCAGAGAGACCGCAGCAGAGCCAUAUGCCCACUGGUGAUAUGAAUGUCACCUGAGCAUGAGCUCGCGUCACCAAAUUCAGGUAAUCGCUCUCCAAGGCAUCAAUCAGCAGCUGCUUGGAGAGGAUGAUCUGCCACACUGGGCAGCAGACACGAACCAGACUCCUACGGGAGGCAGCAGUGGGGAAUUCUGGACAAUGGGCGACAGCCCGAUGGAGCAACGGCGCGUGACGGGGAAAGGCCUGUGGGCUGUAAACCUCUUUUCUCAAGAUAGAAGAUAUGAUAAAAGAGAGGAAUAAGCCACGGCUAAUUUCGUGCCAGCAGCCGCGGUAAUUCGGGAGUGGCAAGCGUUAUCCGAAAUUAUUGGGCGUAAAGCGUCCGCAGGUGGCUUUUCAAGUUCAGUCCCAAGCGUGGGGAUCAUCUCCAUCAUGGCAGUGGAAACUGAAAGGCUUGAGUAUCAUAGGGGCCGAGGAAUUCCAAUCGGAGCGGAGAAAUCGUCGAUAUCGGGAAGAACCCCCGUUAGGAAGGCGCUGUAUUGGCCCUUGACCCCGCUCAUGUCCGCAACCCAGGGGCGGGAAAGCGAUUAGAUAUCCCAGUAGUC
rnacentral:rRNA from 1 species